rnacentral:rRNA from 1 species
GGCGUACGGGAGGCAGCAGCUAAGAAUCUUCCGCAAUGGGCGAAAGCCUGACGGAGCAACGCCGCGUGAGUGAGGAAGGCCUUCGGGUCGUAAAACUCUGUCUUCAGGGAAGAAAAAAAUGACGGUACCUGAGGAGGAAGCCCCGGCUAACUACGUGCCAGCAGCAGCGGUAAAACGUAGGGGGCGAGCGUUGUCCGGAAUUACUGGGCGUAAAGGGCGCGUAGGCGGUUAUUUAAGUCAGAGGUGAAAACUACCGGCUCAACCGGUAGCCUGCCUUUGAAACUGGAUGACUUGAGGGCAGGAGAGGGGAGUGGAAUUCCCAGUGUAGCGGUGAAAUGCGUAGAUAUUGGGAGGAACACCAGUGGCGAAGGCGGCUCUCUGGCCUGUUUCUGACGCUGAGGCGCGAAAGCGUGGGGAGCAAACGGGAUUAGAUACCCCGGUAGUCCACGCCGUAAACGAUGGGUGCUAGGUGUAGGAGGUAUCGACCCCUUCUGUGCCGUAGUUAACACAAUAAGCACCCCGCCUGGGGAGUACGGCCGCAAGGUUGAAACUCGAAGGAAUUGACGGGG